AGUUGACAGUGGAUGAAGAGAUGGCGCAU
rnacentral:piRNA from 1 species